rnacentral:rRNA from 1 species
GUCGGUGUUUUUAACGCAGAGGGUCCACCCGUUCCCAUUCCGAACACGGAAGUUAAGCUCUGCUGUGGCGACAAUACUUGUCUGGAGACGGACCGGAAAGAUAGCUCAAUGCCGACA